AAACCAACCGGGAUUGCCUCAGUAACGGCGAGUGAAGCGGCAAAAGCUCAAAUUUGAAAUCUGGUACCUUCGGUGCCCGAGUUGUAAUUUGUAGAAGGUAACUUUGGGGCUGGUCCUUGUCUAUGUUCCUUGGAACAGGACGUCAUAGAGGGUGAGAAUCCCGUGUGGCGAGGAUCCCAGUUCUAUGUAAAGUGCUUUCGAAGAGUCGAGUUGUUUGGGAAUGCAGCUCUAAGUGGGUGGUAAAUUCCAUCUAAAGCUAAAUAUUGGCGAGAGACCGAUAGCGAACAAGUACAGUGAUGGAAAGAUGAAAAGAACUUUGAAAAGAGAGUGAAAAAGUACGUGAAAUUGUUGAAAGGGAAGGGCAUUUGAUCAGACAUGGUGUUUUGCGCCCUCUGCUCCUUGUGGGUGGGGGAAUCUCGCAGCUCACUGGGCCAGCAUCAGUUUUGGCGGCAGGAUAAAUCUUUAGGAAUGUAGCUUGCCUCGGUAAGUGUUAUAGCCUGUUGAAAUACUGCCAGCUGGGACUGAGGACUGCGACUUUUAGUCAAGGAUGCUGGCAUAAUGGUUAUAUGCCGC
rnacentral:rRNA from 1 species